AUUGAACGCUGGCGGCAGGCUUAACACAUGCAAGUCGAGCGAGCGGCGGACGGGUGAGUAAUGUCUGGGAAACUGCCUGAUGGAGGGGGAUCACUACUGGAAACGGUAGCUAAUACCGCAUUCCCUCAGAUGUGCCCAGAUGGGAUUAGCUGGUAGGUGGGGUAAUGGCUCACCUAGGCGACGACCCCUAGCUGGUCUGAGAGGAUGACCAGCAACACUGGAACUGGGAAAGGGUCCAGACUCCUACGGGGGGCAGCAGUGGGAAAUAUUGCACAAUGGGGGCAAGCCUGAUGCAGCCAUGCCGCGUGUGUGAAAAAGGCCUUCGGGUUGUAAAGCACGUUCAGCGAGGAGGCGUUACUCGCAGAAGAAGCACCGGCUAACUCCGUGCCAGCAGCCGCGGUAAUAC
rnacentral:rRNA from 1 species